CCUACGUGUGGCAGCAGUCGGGAAUAUUGCGCAAUGGAGGAAACUCUGACGCAGUGACGCCGCGUAUAGGAAGAAGUUUUUCGGAAUGUAAACUAUUGUCGUUAGGGAAGAGAAAGGACAGUACCUAAGGAGGAAGCUCCGGCUAACUACGUGCCAGCAGCCGCGGUAAUACGUAGGGAGCGAGCGUUAUCCGGAAUUAUUGGGUGUAAAGGGUGCGUAGACGGGAAAACAAGUUAGUUGUGAAAUCCCUCGGCUUAACUGAGGAACUGCAACUAAAACUAUUUGUUUUGAGUGCAGGAGAGGUAAGUGGAAUUCCUGGUGUAGCGGUGAAAUGCGUAGAUAUUGCGCAGAACUCCGAUUGCGAAGGCAGCAUACCGGCGGCGAUCUGACGCUGAGGCACGAAAGCGUGGGUAUCGAACAGGAUUAGAUACCCCUGUAGUC
rnacentral:rRNA from 1 species